rnacentral:rRNA from 1 species
GUCCACGCUGUAAACGAUGAGCACUAGGUGUUGCGGGUAUUGACCCCUGCAGUGCCGACGCUAACGCAUUAAGUGCUCCGCCUGGGGAGUACGGCCGCAAGGCUAAAACUCAAAGGAAUUGACGGGGGGCCCGCACAAGCGGUGGAGUAUGUGGUUUAAUUCGACGCAACGCGAAGAACCUUACCCGGGUUUGACAUCGAGGGAAAGCUCCUAGAAAUAGGAGGCCUCCCCUUCGGGGGACCCAAAGACAGGUGCUGCAUGGCUGUCGU